UGAUUUCUUUUUAGUAGACCUACCACCAUGUCUACUUCUUUGCUUCUUAUAGGAGUUCUCUGCAUUUUAGGAGCAAAUAGUUUUGCCUCAGUAGGGAAAGCAAGGGUGACCCGAGAACCUAACGCUCCAGAGCCCAUUGACUGCUCGCUGACUGCCUGGACUGAUUGGGGGCCAUGUAAUCCAUGCUCAGAAGAAAGUCACCGCUCAAGGAGUAUUGAGAAGUUUGGACAGUUUGGAGGAAAGCCAUGCAUUGUGUCUCUGAGUGAUAGACAGCACUGUGAGCCAAAAAGUCCCUGUCCAGAUGAGAGAGGUCAAUGUAAGGAUCAAGAGUUUGAAUGUGAAAAUGGAUAUUGUCUAAAGAAUAGGCUGGUAUGUAACACAGAAAAUGACUGUGGUGACUUCUCUGAUGAAGAUAAUUGUGACGAAACCAAACGCCCACCUUGUGGGGAUCGUGACAUUGACGUAUCAGAACUUGGAAGAACAGCUGGACAAGGUGUGAAUGUGCUGGGAAUGACACCAGCUCAAACUGCAUUUCAAAAUGAAUUCUACAACGGCAUUUGCGACAGAGUCCGUGAUGGGAACUCAGCCACUUAUUACCGCAAGCCAUGGAAUCUGGCUGUCCUCAAUUAUGAUACAAGAGGAGACAAACACUUUACAAGUGAAUUCUACAGUGACCAAACAUCAACUGUGAAAGAAAUAUUCAGUACAAAAUCACUGUCUUUUGGUGUGAACCUUUCUGUUAAACUGAAACCAACUGAGUCCAAUGUAUCAGCUACUAUUGGGGGAGGCUUCAAUUUUGGCAAAUCAUCCAACAUGAGCGAAUUCUUGAAAAAAGCCAAAGGAACGAGUACCAUCUAUUUACAUGUCAAAUCUAAUAUACAACUAGGAACUUUCCAAAUGCGAAAACGUGAUUUGCGCUUGAGUGAUACAUUCCUGGAAGAAAUAAAGGUUUUGCCAAGUACCUAUGAGAAGGGAGAGUAUUUUAAAUUUCUUGAAACAUAUGGAACUCAUUAUUCACAGAGAGGGAUCGUUGGAGGAAAAUAUGAGCUAAUGUAUGUAUUGGACAACCAAACUCUUUCAUCACAAGGGCUCACUGCAGAGGAUGUAAACUCAUGCCUAGGCUUUAAUUUAGGAGCUACCAUCACCGUAAAAGACCUUGCAGAAGCUACAGCCGAUUUUAAAGCUCAACAAUGUAAAACCAGUGGAUUUAAAAAUGCUGUUGAAAUGAGACAGAGUGGGGUUGUCCGAGAUGUAGUCUCUAUGGUUCAAGGUGGGACAACAGCUACCUUAACAAAGUUGAAUGAAUUGCUUUCAUCAAAUGUCAAUCUAAUUGAUGCAGAACACUAUUUCGAAUGGGCUGCUACACUACCUCAAGCUCCUGGAGUGAUAAGACAAGAGCUAACCCCGAUUUCGGAACUUGUACCGCUGAAAAUCCCAGACUCCCGAAUAAAGAAAGUAAAUCUGGACAGAGCUGUAGAGGAUUAUGUGGCUGAAUACAGCGCAUGCAAAUGCAAACCUUGUCUACAUGGUGGGACGGCGAUGCUGAUAGAAGGGAAGUGUGAAUGUGCCUGCAAUCCAUUUUACAAGGGAGAUGCCUGUGAAAUACCCAAGUCACGUUUCAUACCAGUUCAAACUGUCAUUGAUGGGAACUGGAACUGCUGGUCUAGCUGGUCCAUGUGUCAGAAUAGAGAACGUCAGCGGACAAGACAGUGUAAUAAUCCUGCACCUGGAUCUGAUGGCAAAUCAUGUCCUGGAACAAGUGUAGAACAGGGCCAUUGUUGAUUACAGAAGACUACCAACAGUACAGAAAACAAACACAUUUAUGGAUAUUAAGGCAACCUGAACGUCCCUGUCAGAUAGAUCUACGGAUCAAGAGUCUUGUCACCAGAUUGAAUUAAAAGCUAUUGAUCUCUGGAUUUCAGAGCACCACUUUGUAUUACCCAAUAAAUUUGAUGGCUUGCAAAAUGCA